CUCUAGAGGCCUGAACUAGAGCGGAAGCUGGUUGGAGGCUGGAAAGUUUGGAGGAAAGCUUUCUGAUGGGAGUGUCUCAGAUGUGUGUUGCUCCAUACACCCUGGGGAACCAGCUUCUAGGUGAUCUCCUGCACAGGUGCCAAGUUCCCGCCACACUGAGCUGCAUUCAGCAGGCCCAGAUGUUGGGCAGCCAAGUCGGUCCCCUGAGGACCCACCCCUCCUGUCGGCUUUCAUCUAAUUUAUUCACUCAGCCACUUGACAAAUAUUUACUCAG